UGUGCCAGCAGCCGCGGUAAUACGGGGGGUGCAAGCGUUAAUCGGAAUUACUGGGCGUAAAGCGCACGCAGGCGGUUGAUUAAGUUAGAUGUGAGAUCCCCGGGCUUAACCUGGGAAUGGCAUCUAAAACUGGUCAGCUAGAGUCUUGUAGAGGGGGGUAGAAUUCCAUGUGUAGCGGUGAAAUGCGUAGAGAUGUGGAGGAAUACCGGUGGCGAAGGCGGCCCCCUGGACAAAGACUGACGCUCAGGUGCGAAAGCGUGGGGAGCAAACAGGAUUAGAUAGCUUGGUCGUCCACGCUGUAAACGAUGUCGAUUUGGAGGUUGUUCCCUUGAGGAGUGGCUUCCGGAGCUAACGCGUUAAAUCGACCGCCUGGGGAGUACGGCCGCAAGGUUAAAACUCAAAUGAAUUGACGGGGGCCCGCACAAGCGGUGGAGCAUGUGGUUUAAUUCGAUGCAACGCGAAGAACCUUACCUACUCUUGACAUCCAGAGAAUUUAGCAGAGAUGCUUUAGUGCCUUCGGGAACUCUGAGACAGGUGCUGCAUGGCUGUCGUCAGCUCGUGUUGUGAAAUGUUGGGUUAAGUCCCGCAACGAGCGCAACCCUUAUCCUUUGUUGCCAGCACGUCAUGGUGGGAACUCAAGGGAGACUGCCGGUGAUAAACCGGAGGAAGGUGGGGAUGACGUCAAGUCAUCAUGGCCCGUUACGAGUAGGGCUACACACGUGCUACAAGGGCGCAUACAAAGAGAAGCGAACUCGCGAGAGCCAGCGGAACUCAUAAAGUGCGUCGUAGUCCGGAUUGGAGUCUGCAACUCGACUCCAUGAAGUCGGAAUCGCUAGUAAUCGUAGAUCAGAAUGCUACGGUGAAUACGUUCCCGGGCCUUGUACACACCGCCCGUCACACCAUGGGAGUGGGUUGCAAAAGAAGUAGGUAGCUUAACCUUCGGGGGGGCGCUUACCACUUUGUGAUUCAUGACUGGGGUGAAGUCGUAACAAGGUAACCGA
rnacentral:rRNA from 1 species